GUUGUUUUGGAGCUCUGGAUUUUCCUUAUUUACGUUGACCUCCUUGGAAUAAAAACUCUGUUUUUCCAUUUAUCACUGAGCUCUACAGCAACAAAAAACCCUCACAGUACUAUGUGAAGUGUACCAGUUUAUUACAGAGCUCCACAACAAUAAAACCCACAAUAAUGUGUAGUGUAUGAGUAUGCCACAGAGCUCCACAACAAUACAACUCCCAGUAAU